ACUGCGCCUGCGCUGGAGACCGGCUCAGACCGGUCCCCUCAGCCCGGCUCCCCCUCCUUAUUCAGGGCCAGCCUAUUGCGAUGCAUUCGGCAGGGAGAAGUGGAAGCGAGGAGACGCGAGAAGCGGAAGGUUGGUUCCUUACGACGGCCUGACACGGGCUCGAUUCUGUGAAGACCAAACUUCGAGGUGCUCAGCUAACCCCUGUAACUUGAAUCGUUUUCCUCUACCCCCAGCCUGGCGCUCACCCCUUUAAAAAAUUCCAUCAUUCGCUCCUUCAUUCCGCAGACACCUAUUGAGCUUGCCUCGUGCUGGGCUGUAGGGUCUCUAUGAGCUCACAGCGUAGUGGUGGAGACAACCAAGUACACACACAAUCCCCGAAAGGUGUAUCCAAGUGUUAACAGAGUGCAGAGAGGGGACUGACUUCAUCCUCUUUGGGGAAGAGGCAGUGACCAUGACGGUUUUGUGUUUUGAGUCGGAUGUUAAAGGAUGAGGAGUUAGCCAGAGUGAGUACUGAAGAAGAGAACACUCCAGGCCAAAGGACCAGAGUACAAAUGUAGGGAGGGGUGAAAAGGCCAGGUGUGUUUAGGAAUGGGGAGCGAGCGUGAAUUGUGAGUGAGGAGUGAGAUCCCUUGGGCCUCAGCAUAAACACCAGUUCCUUGGGGAAGCCUUCCCUUAGCCCUAGACGGGCUUGGGUCCCCUUGCUAUAUGUUCUCAGCUCCCUGUAGUUCUGUCAGAAUGCACUUUACAUUUGUGUAGAGAGAUCUGUCUCAAGGUGUGAGGUGUAAAUGUGAAAUAAGCAUCUCAGUCUCAUUGUGAUUACUAAGGCUUGGUAUUGUCCAUCUUACACUUCAGUUUCAUAUUUGGCUCCUCCAGUGGGUAGCUCAACUUGUAGCUCUAAAGACUCUUAUAGCCCAUGUUUGUUUGUUUUUAUUCUGGGAGUGUUGAGAUUGGGGUUAAGGGCAAGCAUUUUCUUAGGGGAUUUCCUGUGAUAACAAUUGGGAGUCAUAAGCAGCUUCAGUGGAUCCUGUGAUCACUUGGGGGAUUUGGGGACUGUUAUUCCAGCUGACCCCAGCCUUUAGUCUCAUGACACUUUACUCUUUGCCUCUCACCUCACACCAUGAUAUCUGCUAGCAAGUCAGUAGCCACAAUUUCGUCUCUCCACAGUCCAGACUCGGGUCUGUGGCCCAGGCAAGAUCUACUUUCCUUAUCUGUAUCUCUCAAAUCUGAAGGGCAGUUCUUGCUACACACUUUCUCUCCAUACCACACCUACAAUAGGAAUCAAAAUUUAAUAGGCCUUGUGAUAAAUAUUUGUGGAUAAAUGACAUAGGGCCCUGCUCUCACAGAGUGUACAUUCUAGUUGAGGAAACAGGCCAUAAUAAAUCCAAUACAUACACAGGAA